AGCGCAGGCGGGAAGACAAGUUGGAAGUGAAAUCCAUGGGCUCAACCCAUGAACUGCUUUCAAAACCGUUUUUCUUGAGUAGUGCAGAGGUAGGCGGAAUUCCCGGUGUAGCGGUGGAAUGCGUAGAUAUCGGGAGGAACACCAGUGGCGAAGGCGGCCUACUGGGCACCAACUGACGCUGAGGCUCGAAAGCAUGGGUAGCAAACA
rnacentral:rRNA from 1 species